rfam:Dipodomys ordii contig_54620, whole genome shotgun sequence.
GGGAAUGUGACUUGGUGGUAGAGUGCUUGCCUAGCAUGCAUGAAGCCCUGGGUUCGAUUCCUCAGUACCA